rnacentral:rRNA from 1 species
GAUGAACGCUGGCGGCGUGCCUAAUACAUGCAAGUCGAGCGAACAGACGAGGAGCUUGCUCCUCUGACGUUAGCGGCGGACGGGUGAGUAACACGUGGAUAACCUACCUAUAAGACUGGGAUAACUUCGGGAAACCGGAGCUAAUACCGGAUAAUAUAUUGAACCGCAUGGUUCAAUAGUGAAUGACGGUUUUGCUGUCACUUAUAGAUGGAUCCGCGCCGCAUUAGCUAGUUGGUAAGGUAACGGCUUACCAAGGCGACGAUGCGUAGCCGACCUGAGAGGGUGAUCGGCCACACCGGAACUGAGACACGGUCCAGACUCCUACGGGAGGCAGCAGUAGGGAAUCUUCCGCAAUGGGCGAAAGCCUGACGGAGCAACGCCGCGUGAGUGAUGAAGGUCUUCGGAUCGUAAAACUCUGUUAUUAGGGAAGAACAAAUGUGUAAGUAACUAUGCACGUCUUGACGGUACCUAAUCAGAAAGCCACGGCUAACUACGUG